UAACGCGUGAGCAAUCUGCCUUUGGAUGGGGGAUAACAGCCGGAAACGACUGCUAAUACCGCAUGAUGCAGCGGGGUCGCAUGAUUUUGCUGCCAAAGAUUUAUCGUCCAAAGAUGAGCUCGCGUCUGAUUAGCCAGUUGGCGGGGUAACGGCCCACCAAAGCGACGAUCAGUAGCCGGACUGAGAGGUUGAACGGCCACAUUGGGACUGAGACACGGCCCGGACUCCUACGGAAGGCAGCAG
rnacentral:rRNA from 1 species